UACGUAGGUGGCAAGCGUUGUCCGGAUUUACUGGGCGUAAAGAGCGCGCAGGCGGUCGUUCAAGUCGCGUGUGAAAGCCCCCGGCUCAACUGGGGAGGGUCACGCGAUACUGAUCGACUCGAAGGCAGGAGAGGGUAGUGGAAUUCCCGGUGUAGUGGUGAAAUGCGUAGAUAUCUGGAGGAACACCGGUGGCGAAGGCGGCAUCCUGGACCAAUUCUGACGCUGAGGAGCGAAAGCCAGGGGAGCAAACGGG
rnacentral:rRNA from 1 species